AGUGCCCUCCUAUGCUGCUCGCUAACUUUUACAAGUUUUUUCUUAUUAUGAUUGUUAUUCUGGGAUUAAACCAUCGUUCAAACUCCAAAUACCUGUGUGAAACUCCAUCUGUGUCUCCAAGGAUCUCUGCUCCUUCCUGACUCCUGACUGAACAUGUCUGGUGUGGAUGAAGAGGAGGACAGAUCAGAGUCUGUGGACAGAUAUCAGCAGCUCCGACAGACAGCAGAGUCUUCAGGAUCCAGCAGGCUGUCUCUGAAGAGUGACUGGUCCAGAGACAUUCCACUAAGCUUCAGAGUCAAAACUGGACCUUCAGUCACAAUAAAGAGGAAGAGGAGUGAUGUCUGUGAGGAGCAGCCAGAAAGAUCCCGAAGCGUCGCUGCACC